rnacentral:rRNA from 1 species
AUGAUCACAGCCAUGUACAAAGCGCUUCCGCGCCGCGGAUACCCCAUCCUCGUCCUCCGCCUCCGGGGGCUUCGUGGGCUCAGCUCGCACGCGGGCGGCGGCGAGCGGUGGAGGGGUCAGCCCCAGCAGCAGCAGCAGCAGCAGGAAAGCAAGGAGGUCAAGGUGUCGGUGUGGUGGGACUUCCAAAAGUGCCAGCUUCCGCCCGACGCCAACCCCUGCCGCGUGGCCCCGCGCGUCACGGCCGCGCUGCGCGCCGCCGGCAUCCGGGGCCCCGUCGAGAUCACCGCCUUCGGCGAUGUUUUCGUGCUCCCCCGCCCCGUCCAGGAGGUCCUCGCGGCCACCGGCGUCGCGUUCUCGCACGUCCCCGCCAGUGGAAAGGAUGGUUCUGACAGAUCAUUCAUUGCUGAUCUUGUCUAUUGGAUUGCUCAGAACCCUCCACCAGCCCAUUUCUUCCUUAUAUCUGGGGAUGAACACUUUGCGAAUAUUCUGCAUCGCCUUCGGAUGAGCAAUUACAACAUACUGCUAGCCUGUCCUAACAAUGAGCCCAGCAUUCUGUGCAGUGCAGCAACAAUUAUGUGGCCGUGGGAAGCUUUGAUUAAAGGGGAGGGGUUUACUCGAAAACAUUUUAACCAGCCACCUGAUGGUUUGUCCUGUUCUUGGUAUGGUAAUUACAGGGGAGCUCUUGAUGACCCCUUCCAGAAAGCAGAACCAAAGCACUCCGUAAAUGUAUCAUUGCAAACCAAGAAGCCAGAGAAGCCACCUAUAACCUCCAAAUCUGUGGUCAACGGGCCUGAUUAUGCCAGGUUUAUAGAUCCUCUACCAGGUGAUAGUCAACCUGCUCUAGUUGGUGAAAAAAGCUUUACGAGAAUGAGUUAUCAGCAAAGUAUUGGGGACAGAAAAUGCCUCACUGAGACUAAGAAUGAGAAGCCACGAUCAUCCAAUGUCCCAUCUUCUCCAUCAGAUAUAUUAUCUUUAGAGCAACAGAAAAUUCCGGUCGGUGAUGAUCCCUUCCUGCAAGGAGAAUUCAACCACUCCAUGAAUGUACCAUUGCAGACCAAGAAACCAGAGGAGACACCUAGAAUCCCCAAAUCUGUGAUCACCUGUAUCAGGAGAGCACUAAACUCUUAUCCUGAAGGGGUCAAUCUCGAAGAUCUUCUAUCAGAACUUAAAGAGAACAAGUUGUUUAUGUAUAAUGGAUUAUAUGGCUUCAAAAACUUCAGUGCUCUUCUCCAAGCUAUGCCUGAUUAUGUCAAAUUUAUAGAUCCUUUACCAGGUGAUAGUCAACCUGUCGUAGUUGGUGAAAAAAGCUUUAAUAGAUUUCCUUCUGCUCAAAGUAAUGGUGAGGUAAAAUGCCUCAUUGAGACGAAGAAUGAGAAGCCACCAUCAUCUAACAUACCAUCUUCUCCAUCAGAUAUAUUGUCCCCAGAACAAAGGAAAAUUCCGAUAGUUGAUGCUCCAUCUUCCCAGAGUGGUUUGUUGUCUAGAGACCAAAGGAAAGCUCCACCCGUAGAUUUUAUUAAGCCAUCUGAACCACCUGCGGGUCAUAUGGAAGCUGAUAUGGUGAUCACUGCUGCAACUCCCUCCUCGGAGGCUCAAGGGUCCAGUGAUGUAACAAGCCAGGAAGGGCAACAUAACAGACAUUUGAGAAAGGCCAUGAAGAAUUGUUCCACAGCUGACAAUGCUGAUGUGAAUGGUCCUGAUAACAGUUCAGCAGGCAGCACUAGUUUGUCAGAUGACCCGUCUAAUAACUGUUCUGAAACAGAUGUCAAGAGGAAUUUUGCAAAUACAAAGAAUCACAAUGGCGAAACAGUCGAAAUCAGCAAAGCUGAAAAGAUACGAGGUUCUGGAGAAAGCAACAAAGGAAUAUUUAGCUGGGCAGCAAGGUGGUGGUCAUCUGGAAAAUCAGAUACACAAGAUAAUCAAAAUCAUGAUGGAACAAGGAAAGAUUUGGACAAAGGAUGUUCAUUUGUUAACAGUGCAAGUGGACAGCAAGUAGGAGUUGAAAUGUUUGAAAAAUCUUACUUCUGGGAUGCACUACAGCAAUAUCUUUUAACCCAUCAUGGAUCAAAACUUGUUUCAGAAGCAAAGGCAAGGGAGGAGUUGGCACAUGGACUGCAGAAGGGCUGUUCGCUUCUCAAAGGCCUUGACGAGAAACAUAUCCAUCAGUUAGUACAUCUGUUGAUCUCUGAGAAGAAAUGGAUCAAGGAGUGUAGGUCGGAAACUUUUCAUUUCCAACUUACGCUGCCUCAGAGAGGAACAUGUGCUCCAUUACAUUCCUGUAAACCAGAAGGGUCAACUUCUCCUCUUACAAAUGGAAACGGCCAGGCCAGCUGCAAGGGCAAUGAAUACCGUGGUAAUGUCGAUGACUUUGCCUGGGAAGAGCUUGGUCCUGUAUCCAGUGCUGGUGAUCCUCAUCCAGAAACUGGUAAAGUGGUGUGCUAUCACCCUCCCACCUCGUCAGAUGAUGAGUUUUCUGAUGGUGAAAUUCAUGCGGUAGAUGAACAAGCAGGAAAAGAUUCGGAUGCUGAAUUUUCCGAGAAUGAAAAUCAUACAGCAAGCCAACAAGCAAGAAGAGACCCAUCGCGGAGCUCGCUCGUCGAAAUUAUUGCCUUGUGGGAAACAGGCAAGGAUGAUGGUUCACCGCCGAGAAAUUUCAAGGCCGAAUGCUCUCGAACGAAUAAACAUUAUCGUCAGUGUUAUCGUCCUUCGACCAAGCAGCAGCGGCAGCAACAACACUCGUGA